rnacentral:lncRNA from 1 species
AGUCAGGAUAUAGAGAGCCUAAUCACCUGGGAGCAGCUGCUGCCAGAGAAGUCAAGAGUGCUUUGUUUGAGAGAACUCUCCCAUUUUAGAGUCUCCUUCCUGUCAACUCCAUGCCAUGCCUACUAUGAACAGUCUACAGAACCCCCUUCUCCCACUUCCUGGACUUUUCAGUCUCCUCACGCACUCUUCCUGGGGCUGAUCAGUGGUAAGUGGUGGCCAGCUAGAAAUACUCAAGUCCAAUGUCUGUCAUCCAAUCCUGAUGCCUUUUUUCCAUCAGUCUGGAAAACUAUAUUUUCAAUUCCUCUGUUUACAUGGGAAAGGAAAUACUUUAUGUCUGUAUUAAGACUGCACAUCUGUGUAAGAGUGAGUUGACAGCCACAUUAAAUGUUAGAGAGGGAGGGGUAAGGAGGAACUCUAAGGCAGUUUCCUGAGAAGGCAGUGGAAUGGCUGCAAAGCUCAUCUAUUGGAGGGUGAUGAAAGAGCCAACAAGAGACUUGGACAACCUCACAGUUUUACAGAGAGCCAAUACUAGAAGAGAGAAUCCAAGAUCAGCUAGUCUAUCCUCACUCCUUGCAAGAUUGCUCUGCUAAGAGUAGGUCACUGGCAUUUUUUAAAAAAUAACAAAUAUCUUUGGAAGAUAAUGUAUCCAAAGUCAAAGGUACAGAAAAGUAUUUGGCAGUGCCUGACCUUGAAUUCUUUGCUCCUGGUACACAAGAGAAAAUCAGAGGAAGAAUUAAAGAGUUGGAAACUUUUAUAGCAACGUGACAUUGUCAACCAAGCAUGAACAGUGGACUCCAGUCCAGGAAAAGUGAAGAGAUCAUUUUGGAUGUUGUCAAACUUGCAUAGUAAGCAGCACACAGAGCAAGCUGCAUGUGAACACGCACAAGAGGAGCACAUACUGGUCUAUGAUGGAUGAAAGGAAAAAAUAUUGGUGCUUCCUCCCACGGGUAGUUUGAAAAGCACUCCUGUAUAGUGAAGAGUCUUCUUCCUGUUCCUAUUCCUCAGCCAUCCAG